GCCGUAAUCCGGCGGUUCGCGGACACGCCUGAUAAGCGUGAGGUCGGAAGUUCGGGUCUUCCCAGGCCCA
rnacentral:tRNA from 1 species